rnacentral:rRNA from 1 species
CACUCCUACGGGAGGCAGCAGUGGGGAAUUUUGGACAAUGGGCGAAAGCCUGAUCCAGCCAUGCCGCGUGCAGGAUGAAGGCCUUCGGGUUGUAAACUGCUUUUGUACGGAACGAAACGGCCUUUUCUAAUAAAGAGGGCUAAUGACGGUACCGUAAGAAUAAGCACCGGCUAACUACGUGCCAGCAGCCGCGGUAAUACGUAGGGUGCAAGCGUUAAUCGGAAUUACUGGGCGUAAAGCGUGCGCAGGCGGUUAUGUAAGACAGUUGUGAAAUCCCCGGGCUCAACCUGGGAACUGCAUCUGUGACUGCAUAGCUAGAGUACGGUAGAGGGGGAUGGAAUUCCGCGUGUAGCAGUGAAAUGCGUAGAUAUGCGGAGGAACACCGAUGGCGAAGGCAAUCCCCUGGACCUGUACUGACGCUCAUGCACGAAAGCGUGGGGAGCAAACAGGAUUAGAAACCCCGGUAGUCC